AUUGAACGCUGGCGGCAGGCCUAACACAUGCAAGUCGAACGAGUGGCGGACGGGUGAGUACUGUCUGGGAAACUUCCUGAUGGAUGGUGAUCACUACUGGAAACGUUAGCUACUACCGCCUACCCUCGGAUGUGCCCAGAUGGGAUUAGCUGGUAGGUGGGGUAAAGGCUCACCUAGGCUACGAUCCCUAGCUGGUCUGAGAGGAUGACCAGCCACACUGGAACUGAGACACGGUCCAGACUACUACGGGAGGCAGCAGUGGGGAAUAUUGCACAAUGGGCGAAAGCAUGAUGCAGCCAUGCCGCGUGUAUGAAGAAGGCCUUCGGGUUGUAAAGUACUUUCAGCGGGGAGGCGUUAACCGCAGAAGAAGCACCGGCUAACUCCGUGCCAGCAGCCGCGGUAAUUC
rnacentral:rRNA from 1 species